rnacentral:rRNA from 1 species
UACGUAGGGGCAAGCGUUGUCCGGAAUCAUUGGGCGUAAGAGCGUGUAGGCGGCUCGGUAAGUCCGCUCUGAAAGCCCAGGGCUCAACCCUGGGAGGCGGGUGGAUACUACUGGACUAGAGUACGGAAGAGGAGAUUGGAAUUCCUGGUGUAGCGGUGAAAUGCGCAGAUAUCAGGAGGAACACCAACAGCGAAGGCAGAUCUCUGGGACGUAACUGACGCUGAGACGCGAAGCGUGGGAGCAAACAGG